UACAGAGGGUGCAAGCGUUAAUCGGAAUUACUGGGCGUAAAGCGUGCGUAGACGGUUGUUUAAGUCGGAUGUGAAAUCCCCGGGCUCAACCUGGGAAUUGCAUUCGAGACUGAUCAGCUAGGGUACGGAAGAGGGAAGCGGAAUUUCCGGUGUAGCGGUGAAAUGCGUAGAUAUCGGAAGGAACAUCAGUGGCGAAAGCGGCUUCCUGGUCCAGUACCGACGUUCAGGCACGAAAGCGUGGGGAGCAAACAGGAUUAGAUACCCUGGUAGUCCACGCCAUAAACGAUGAGGACUAGACGUUGGAAGGGUUAGCCUUUCAGUGUCGCAGCUAACGCGAUAAGUCCUCCGCCUGGGGAGUACGGCCGCAAGGUUG
rnacentral:rRNA from 1 species